rnacentral:rRNA from 1 species
UGGGGAAUAUUGCACAAUGGGCGAAGCCUGAUGCAGCAACGCCGCGUGAGUGAUGAAGGCCUUCGGGUUGUAAAGCUCUGUCUUUUGGGACGAUAAUGACGGUACCAAAGGAGGAAGCCACGGCUAACUACGUGCCAGCAGCCGCGGUAAUACGUAGGUGGCAAGCGUUGUCCGGAUUUUACUGGGCGUAAAGGAUGCGUAGGCGGAUUUUUAAGUGAGAUGUGAAAUACCCGGGCUUAACUUGGGUGCUGCAUUUCAAACUGGGAAUCUAGAGUGCGGGAGAGGAGAAUGGAAUUCCUAGUGUAGCGGUGAAAUGCGUAGAGAUUAGGAAGAACACCAGUGGCGAAGGCGAUUCUCUGGACCGUAACUGACGCUGAGGCAUGAAAGCGUGGGUAGCAAACAGGAUUAGAUACCCUGGUAGUCCACGCCGUAAACGAUGAGUACUAGGUGUAGGAGGUAUCGACCCCUUCUGUGCCGCAGUUAACACAAUCAAGUACUCCGCCUGGGAAGUACGAUCGCAAGAUU